rnacentral:rRNA from 1 species
AUGCAACCACCUCCCUCCCUCACCCUCUCCUCAUCCGGCGACGGCGGCAGCGGAUCAGCGGCGCCGGCUGUGGCAUCCGUGGCGGUGGUGGACGGCGCGGCCGCGGCGCUCCGUUCGACCUUGCAUCAUAUUUUUAUUGUGUAUGUGGGCAGUGUGUUCAAGUUGAUCUGGAACAAUUUGAAGGGUUUCCUCGACACAAAAUCUUCAGCCAAGGCCGCUCCGGCCGCGGCGGCCACCAAAUCCGGCCAUUAUGGCCGCCAGCUGCGCCUCCAACCUCCCCUUCCCGCCACGUUGGAGCCUCUCGCCGCCCGCUGGAGCCUCGCUUUGACCCGGUGGUUCCUCGCAGCCCCCCUCCCCGUGGUCAGCGGCCUCGACGGCUGCGGCGUCAGAUCCAGCUUCUACGCCGCGAAUCCUGCAGCGCAGCGGUCCCUCCAAGAGCUCCGGUCCGCGACCGCGUCGUCUUCCCGCCUCCGCCUCCGCCCCCCUGCUCCCAUGGCUAGCCUUGCCCUCUACGACCCAGCUCGGCGGCCGCGCGAGAGCCGCAAGGUCGUGGUGGCCUCUCCAGCGCUGGAGCUUGAGGAGCACGUCCUGCGCCGGCACGCGGUCACCCUGACCGCCGAGGACCGCUCGCACUCCACCACCCCCGCGGCGGUGGGCAAGGUCAUCCUCGAGCAGCUCUCCACCCCUCCGUACCUGCUCCGCGUCACGGCCCACCAACCCGAAGCCUUCCUCAUCCACUUCGACCUCCUUGCUCACCGAGACAACGCCAUGCGCUAUGGCGUCAUCAAGGCCUUCGGCGACAUCGGCCGCGUCGACAGGCUCGAUUUGCGCACCCUGGAGAGGGGGCACACCAGGACCUUCGCGUUCUGGCUCUGGGUUUGGGACGUUGCCCACAUCCCCACCAGGCGCGCGCUCUGGGUGCUCAAGCGGGGUGCGGGUCGGGCGGAUGAGAUCAUCGGCCUCGCCCCCGCGGAUCGCCGCAUCCCCCCGCGUCCCGGCGUCCGGCGCUACGACCUGCUGCUACAUGUCGACCUACUGGAGGAUUGGUCACCUCUCUCGCCACGCUCGUCUCACUUCGGCCAGAGCGGGCUGCCCUCCUCGGAUGAAGAUGACGACCGCCCUUUCCCGUGCAUCGAGCCCGGCACUUGGGUGCCCCAUGUUGAAGACGGGCAGGGCAGGGCCUGCAACAGGGCGCCGCGCGUCGGGGCCGGGGGCUGCGGCCCUGUGCUCGGUGGGGGCGCCCGCGACCACGAGGAGGACGACGGUGGAGGCGAUCGCCCGCCGGUCGCCGCCACUCGGCUGGCUGUCAUGGCCGCCCUGCCGCUGGGAGGGCCUCCGGCGCUCCAGGUGUGCGCGCCACCCCGCCACUCCCCCUCCGCUCGCCCCCCCGCGACGGAGGUCGACCCGGUGGCCCAGUUUUUCUCCUUCUCCGACAACGGCCACGCCCUAUCUUCGCCCCCGCGCACGGACUGCAUGCAACUGGAGAUGGAGAACGCCAUUCAGGACGCGCUCGUCACCCCGCUGGCUUUCGAAGACGGUGGCCGCUCGCCUUCUCCGCCCACCGCCAAGCCCGCCGAGCUGGAGAGCCUGGAGAUGCUGCCGUGCCUGCUGCCCUGCAUCGCCUCCCCUGCAGCACCAACGGUGGGCUUCCAGAUGGACGCGGUCAUCCAGCAGGUGGGCUCCAUGCAAAUCGGUGACAGUCAGGCGCAAGCAGCCGAGCUGUUUGCUGCGGUCCCGCCUCCGAUCCUCGCUAGCCAGCCUCCCCGUCCACGCCACUCCGCCCCGCCCAAGUCAAGGGCUACCUCCGCCCCCUCCCGUCGCAGUGCUCGACAGGCAGUAGCUGGCAACUCCACCCCGGUGACGCAGAGGGCGGUUCUGCACCUAGUCCAGGAGCUAGGUGAGCUCGGCCCCAUGGACAAGAUGACUUCGAAAGCGGCCGCGCAGAUCAUGAAGCAUUUCCAGGAGCCCCUCCGACGGUGA